GAGGAAAACAUUGCUAAUGGAUGAAGCAUUACAAAACUUCUUAGGCUUAGUUUGGUAUUAAAGUCUAUCUAACAUUAUUAGAUAAAAUGGAGUUGAGAAAAAAGCAUAUAGGGAUGUGUUUAUUUCUGCGUUGUCCGAUGGGAUCGCAGAAAAUAUAUCGUAACCGACUCAUCGAGAUAUAUGGAACGUAAUAUUACGUACGGAAACAAAUAGGAUAUUUUUUCAACGUACUUUCUCACCGCACGUUCCCAACGAAGCCUUAAACAAGAAUAUUAUAGAGAAAAAAAAAAGAGGAGUAAU
rnacentral:lncRNA from 1 species